GAUGAACGCUGGCGGCGUGCUUAACACAUGCAAGUCGAACGAUGAAGCCCAGCUUGCUGGGUGGUUUAGUGGCGAACGGGUGAGUAAUACGUGAGUAACCUGCCCUUGACUCUGGGAUAAGCCUGGGAAACUGGGUCUAAUACCGGAUACGCCCAUCUGGCGCAGGUCAUGGUGGUGGAAAGCUUUGGUGGUAUUGGAUGGACUCGCGGCCUAUCUGCUUGUUGGGGGGGUAACGGCCUACCAAGGCGACGACGGGUAGCCGGCCUGGGAGGGUGACCGGCCACACUGGGACUGAGACACGGCCCAGACUCCUACGGGAGGCAGCAGUGGGGAAUAUUGCACAAUGGGCGCAAGCCUGAUGCAGCGACGCCGCGUGAGGGAUGACGGCCUUCGGGUUGUAAACCUCUUUCAGUAGGGAAGAAGCGAUAGUGACGGUACCUGCAGAAGAAGCGCCGGCUAACUACGUG
rnacentral:rRNA from 1 species